AGUGAACGCUGGCGGUAGGCCUAACACAUGCAAGUCGAACGGCAGCACAGUAAGAGCUUGCUCUUACGGGUGGCGAGUGGCGGACGGGUGAGGAAUACAUCGGAAUCUACUUUUUCGUGGGGGAUAACGUAGGGAAACUUACGCUAAUACCGCAUACGACCUACGGGUGAAAGCAGGGGAUCUUCGGACCUUGCGCGAUUGAAUGAGCCGAUGUCGGAUUAGCUAGUUGGCGGGGUAAAGGCCCACCAAGGCGGCGAUCCGUAGCUGGUCUGAGAGGAUGAUCAGCCACACUGGAACUGAGACACGGUCCAGACUCCUACGGGAGGCAGCAGUGGGGAAUAUUGGACAAUGGGCGCAAGCCUGAUCCAGCCAUACCGCGUGGGUGAAGAAGGCCUUCGGGUUGUAAAGCCCUUUUGUUGGGAAAGAAAAGCAGCAGGUUAAUACCCCGCUGUUCUGACGGUACCCAAAGAAUAAGCACCGGCUAACUUCGU
rnacentral:rRNA from 1 species